AUUGAACGCUGGCGGCAGGCUUAACACAUGCAAGUCGAGCGGGGUGAUGGUGCUUGCACUAUCACUUAGCGGCGGACGGGUGAGUAAUGCUUAGGAAUCUGCCUAUUAGUGGGGGACAACAUCUCGAAAGGGAUGCUAAUACCGCAUACGUCCUACGGGAGAAAGCAGGGGAUCACUUGUGACCUUGCGCUAAUAGAUGAGCCUAAGUCGGAUUAGCUAGUUGGUGGGGUAAAGGCCUACCAAGGCGACGAUCUGUAGCGGGUCUGAGAGGAUGCUCCGCAACACUGGGACGGGGACACGGCCCAGACGCCUACGGGAGGCAGCAGGGGGGAAUAUUUGCAAAUGGGGGGAACCCUGAUCCAGCCAUGCCGCGUGUGUGAAGAAGGCCUUAUGGUUGUAAAGCACUUUAAGCGAGGAGGAGGCUCUUUUGGUUAAUACCCAAGAUGAGUGGACGUUACUCGCAGAAUAAGCACCGGCUAACUCUGUGCCAGCAGCCGCAGUAA
rnacentral:rRNA from 1 species